GACGAACGCUGGCGGCGUGCUUAACACAUGCAGGUCGAACGGAAAGGCCCUGCUUUUGUGGGGUGCUCGAGUGGCGAACGGGUGAGUAACACGUGAGUAACCUGCCCUUGACUUUGGGAUAACUUCAGGAAACUGGGGCUAAUACCGGAUAGGAGCUCCUGCUGCAUGGUGGGGGUUGGAAAGUUUCGGCGGUUGGGGAGGGACUCGCGGCUUAUCAGCUUGUUGGUGGGGUAGUGGCUUACCAAGGCUUUGACGGGUAGCCGGCCUGAGAGGGUGACCGGCCACAUUGGGACUGAGAUACGGCCCAGACUCCUACGGGAGGCAGCAGUGGGGAAUAUUGCACAAUGGGCGGAAGCCUGAUGCAGCAACGCCGCGUGCGGGAUGACGGCCUUCGGGUUGUAAACCGCUUUCGCCUGUGACGAAGCGUGAGUGACGGUAAUGGGUAAAGAAGCACCGGCUAACUACGUG
rnacentral:rRNA from 1 species